rnacentral:rRNA from 1 species
AACGCUGGCGGCGCGCCUAACACAUGCAAGUCGAACGAGAAAGGGGAGCAAUCCCUGAGUACAGUGGCGUACGGGUGAGUAACACGUGGAUGAUCUACCCUUUUGUGGGGAAUAACCAUGGGAAACCGUGGCUAAUACCGCAUAAGCUCGAGAGAGGAAAGCAGCAAUGCGCAGAAGGAGGAGUCCGCGGCCGAUUAGCUAGUUGGCAGGGUAAAAGCCUACCAAGGCAGAGAUCGGUAGCCGGCCUGAGAGGGCACACGGCCACACUGGCACUGAAACACGGGCCAGACUCCUACGGGAGGCAGCAGUGGGGAAUCUUGCACAAUGGGGGAAACCCUGAUGCAGCGACGCCGCGUGAGCGAUGAAGCCCUUCGGGGUGUAAAGCUCUUUCGGCAGGGAAGAUAAUGACGGUACCUGCAGAAGCAGCUGCGGCUAACUACGUGCCAGCAGCCGCGGUAAUACGUAGGCAGCAAGCGUUGUUCGGAGUUACUGGGCGUAAAGGGUGUGUAGGCGGUUGUUUAAGUUUGGUGUGAAAUCUCCCGGCUCAACUGGGAGGGUGCGCCGAAUACUGAAUGACUAGAGUGCGGGAGAGGAAAGUGGAAUUCCUGGUGUAGCGGUGAAAUGCGUAGAUAUCAGGAGGAACACCGGUGGUGUAGACGGCUUUCUGGACCGUAACUGACGCUGAGACACGAAAGCGUGGGUAGCAAACAGGAUUAGAUACCCUGGUAGUCCACGCCCUAAACGAUGCAUAUUUGGUGUNNNCAGUUCAUUCUGUCCGUGCCGGAGCUAACGCGUUAAAUAUGCCGCCU